AGGGAAUCUUCCACAAUGGACGCAAGUCUGAUGGAGCAACGCCGCGUGAGUGAAGAAGGUCUUCGGAUCGUAAAGCUCUGUUGUUGGUGAAGAAGGAUAGAGGCAGUAACUGGUCUUUAUUUGACGGUAAUCAACCAGAAAGUCACGGCUAACUACGUGCCAGCAGCCGCGGUAAUACGUAGGUGGCAAGCGUUGUCCGGACUUAUUGGGCGUAAAGCGAGCGCAGGCGGAAUGAUAAGUCUGAUGUGAAAGCCCACGGCUCAACCGUGGAACUGCAUCGGAAACUGUCAUUCUUGAGUGCAGAAGAGGAGAGUGGAACUCCAUGUGUAGCGGUGGAAUGCGUAGAUAUAUGGAAGAACACCAGUGGCGAAGGCGGCUCUCUGGUCUGCAACUGACGCUGAGGCUCGAAAGCAUGGGUAGCGAACAGGAUUAGAUACCCUGGUAGUCCAUGCCGUAAACGAUGAGCGCUAGGUGUUGGGGACUUUCCGGUCCUCAGUGCCGCAGCAAACGCAUUAAGCGCUCCGCCUGGGGAGUACGACCGCAAGGUUGAAAC
rnacentral:rRNA from 1 species